UUAUUUAUUAUUUGAAAUUAUUAUCAAUCAUUUCUUAGGCAACUCCAAAGAGAGCAAGAACAUCUCCCAAGCCACAUGGAUUUUUAUAAGCUCAAAGAAUGGCUGACUUUAGUGCUCAAACAGUGGCUGACUUGAGCUUUCUCAAAUUCAUUAGGCCACAGUUUCAGGUACCAGUGGUGACAUGAAGUGAUGACAUCCUGAUCGUUGGAGCCUGCCUAAUUUAGAAGCUUGAGAKGUGCUUUUGUGAAGCUGUUUUUAGAAGAUGAGGUUGCCAGAACUUGGUAUGUCCUCUCCUUGAACACUUCAGCACUCCAAGGAUUCAGUGAACCAGGUAAGCCUGACCACCRUUGCUCUGC